rfam:Mesocricetus auratus contig108890, whole genome shotgun sequence.
AGAAUGCAGGGUAGAUACCAUGAUCACGUAGGUGGUUUUCCCAGGGCGAGGCCCACCCAUUGCACUUGGGGUGUGCUGACCCCUGCGAUUUCCUCAAAUGCGGGAAACUCGACUGCAUAAUUUGUGGUAGUGUGGGACUGAAAAAGAAAAAAAAAAAGAAUGUAAGACUGCUCUAUCCUGAU